rnacentral:tRNA from 1 species
AUUUAUUAGUAUAAGUAGUACAUUUAAUUUCCAAUUAAAUAGAAAAAUA